UGGGGAAUUUUGGACAAUGGGGGAAACCCUGAUCCAGCCAUCCCGCGUGUGCGAUGAAGGCCUUCGGGUUGUAAAGCACUUUUGGCAGGAAAGAAACGUCAUGGGUUAAUACCCCGUGAAACUGACGGUACCUGCAGAAUAAGCACCGGCUAACUACGUGCCAGCAGCCGCGGUAAUACGUAGGGUGCAAGCGUUAAUCGGAAUUACUGGGCGUAAAGCGUGCGCAGGCGGUUCGGAAAGAAAGAUGUGAAAUCCCAGAGCUCAACUGUGGAACUGCAUUUUUAACUACCGGGCUAGAGUGUGUCAGAGGGAGGUGGAAUUCCGCGUGUAGCAGUGAAAUGCAUAGAUAUGCGGAGGAACACCGAUGGCGAAGGCAGCCUCCUGGGAUAACACUGACGCUCAUGCACGAAAGCGUGGGGAGCAAACAGG
rnacentral:rRNA from 1 species